rnacentral:lncRNA from 1 species
CCCUUGCCCUUCUUGAAACUAGUAUUUUUACUAACCAUCAACAAUUGAUGCUCCUACUUGAUUUCUACUUUCGCGGUGUCAAAUAUCGUGAAUAACUCAGGGAUCAUCUUGUGUAUUCAUGAUAUGCUAUAGUUCGUCACGAAGCUCUAGUAGUUUGGUGACAGUGACUUUGGAGAACUAUGUCAAUCACUAUCUUAUUUGGAAGAUCAACUCCC